rnacentral:rRNA from 1 species
GACGAACGCUGGCGGCGUGCUUAACACAUCCAAGUCGAACGAGUGGCGGACGGGUGAGUAAUGUCUGGGAAACUGCCUGAUGGAGAGGGAUAACUACUGGAAACGGUAGCUAAUACCGCAUACCAUCGGAUGUGCCAAGAUGGGAUUAGCUAGGAGGUGGGGUAAAGGCUCACCUAGGCGACGAUCCCUAGCUGGUCUGAGAGGAUGACCAGCCACACGGGAACUGAGACACGUGCCAUACUGCUACUGGAGGCAGCAGUGGGGAAUAUUGCACAAUGGGCGCAAGCCUGAGUCAGCCAUGCCGCGUGUAUGAAGAAGGCCUUCGGGUUGUAAAGUACUUUCAGCGGGGAGGCGUUACCCGCAGAAGAAGCACCGGCUAACUCCGUGCCAGCAGCCGCGGUAAUA